AGAGCGAACGCUGGCGGCAUGCUUAACACAUGCAAGUCGCACGGGCACUUCGGUGUCAGUGGCGGACGGGUGAGUAACGCGUAGGUAUCUAUCCUUGGGUGGGGGACAACGGUUGGAACGACUGCUAAUACCGCAUAAUAACUGAGGUUUAAAGGCGCAAGUCGCCUGAGGAGGAGCCUGCGUACGAUUAGCUAGUUGGUGGGGUAAAGGCCUACCAAGGCGACGAUCGUUAGCUGGUCUGAGAGGAUGAUUAGCCACAUUGGGACUGAGACACGGCCCAAACUCCUACGGGAGGCAGCAGUGGGGAAUAUUGGACAAUGGGCGAAAGCCUGAUCCAGCAAUGCCGCGUGUGUGAAGAAGGUCUUCGGAUUGUAAAGCACUUUCGACAGGGACGAUGAUGACGGUACCUGUAGAAGAAGCCCGGCUAACUUCGUGCCAGCAGCCGC
rnacentral:rRNA from 1 species